UACGUAGGGUCCGAGCGUUGUCCGGAGUUACUGGGCGUAAAGCGCGCGCAGGCGGCGGUGCUGGCCCGGCGUGAAAGCCCCCGGCUCAACCGGGGAGGGUCGUCGGGGACCGCACCGCUUGAGGGCGGUAGGGGCUGGUGGAAUGCCUGGUGUAGUGGUGAAAUGCGUAGAGAUCAGGCGGAACACCAGUGGCGAAGGCGGUUGCCUGGAGCUUUGCUGACGCUGAUGCGCGAAAGCGUGGGGAGCGAUCCGG
rnacentral:rRNA from 1 species